UGGUGGGGGCAGGUAACAGAAAGGGUGAGAGGAAGGAGAAAGAGAAGCAUAUGUGGGACAGUGUAUCGUUACAAGUGAUGUGUUUACUAAUGAAAGAAAUACAGCAAAAUGCUCACUGAGUCUAGGCGGUGGGUAUAUGGGGGUUCACCACCAUC